AAAUAUCAGUAUGACCAUAAUAUUAUCUUGAAUGAGGAGCUUCUGAUGGUCCUGAGGAAUGUAGUGUAGAGGCUAGAAAGUGAUCUAGACUUGAGUGCAAAAACUAUAAAUGAGGUAAUAAAAGAGUAGAUUACUAUCAUAGUAGGAUUGUUGAUGUAUUUUUGAAUUAUAUUAACUUAUUAAAAUUAAAUAACCUCUAAUGAUAAGUCUAUAUUGAUUGGGUAGGAAAAAAAAUUUUAAAAGAGAAAAGGAAGCUUUGUAGAACAAGCAGCACAUAAAUCCAUAUCUAAAAUAUCAUCAGGUAUAAAUAUGAAACUAUUUUUUAUUAUU
rnacentral:lncRNA from 1 species